rnacentral:rRNA from 1 species
GGCGAACGCUGGCGGCGUGCUUAACACAUGCAAGUCGAACGGUGAAGCGCCUUCCUUUUUGGUGGGUGUGGAUGAGUGGCGAACGGGUGAGUAACACGUGAGUAACCUGCCCCCUUCUUCUGGAUAACCGCAUGAAAGUGUGGCUAAUACGGGAUAUUCUGGGUCUGUCGCAUGAUGGGUCUGGGAAAGAUAUUGUUUCGGUGGGGGAUGGGCUCGCGGCCUAUCAGCUUGUUGGUGGGGUGAUGGCCUACCAAGGCGGUGACGGGUAGCCGGCCUGAGAGGGUGGACGGUCACACUGGGACUGAGACACGGCCCAGACUCCUACGGGAGGCAGCAGUGGGGAAUAUUGCACAAUGGGCGCAAGCCUGAUGCAGCGACGCCGCGUGAGGGAUGGAGGCCUUCGGGUUGUGAACCUCUUUCGCCAGUGAAGCAGGCCUGCCUCGUUUGUGGGUGGGUUGACGGUAGCUGGAGAAGAAGCGCCGGCUAACUACGUG